GAUGAACGCUGGCGGCGUGCCUAAUACAUGCAAGUCGAGCGAAUGGAUUAAGAGCUUGCUCUUAUGAAGUUAGCGGCGGACGGGUGAGUAACACGUGGGUAACCUGCCCAUAAGACUAGGAUAACUCCGGGAAACCGGGGCUAAUACCGGAUAACAUUUUGAACCGCAUGGUUAGAAAUUGAAAGGCGGCUUCGGCUGUCACUUAUGGAUGGACCCGCGUCGCAUUAGCUAGUUGGUGAGGUAACGGCUCACCAAGGCAACGAUGCGUAGCCGACCUGGGAGGGUGAUCGGCCACACUGGGACUGAGACACGGCCCAGACUCCUACGGGAGGCAGCAGUAGGGAAUCUUCCGCAAUGGACGAAAGUCUGACGGAGCAACGCCGCGUGAGUGAUGAAGGCUUUCGGGUCGUAAAACUCUGUUGUUAGGGAAGAACAAGUGCUAGUUGAAUAAGCUGGCACCUUGACGGUACCUAACUAGAAAGCCACGGCUAACUACGUGCCAGCAGCCGCAGUAA
rnacentral:rRNA from 1 species